GUAUAAAACACGUUGAUGUUUUGACAGCUAAGGCCAGGCUGAGGUUAUUCAAAGAUUUUAUAAUAAAUUUACAUUCGUGGUAUUGUUGUUAAAAGCUUGCCAACAGUUGAAGAUUUAGAGAUGAUCUCUAUCACAAAGUUCACUCUAUUGGUGGUUUUCGUCAUGACAUUGACAAAUCUGAUGCUAGCAAAGGGUGCCCCUCUCGAUCCGACUACCACGGCGCCCCAUACUACCCAGCAGUACAGCCAAUGUGGCAGCUGCCCUGCAGGGGAGAAGUGUUACAAGGUGUUCCCCGUGUGUACUACCCCGCCCCCCAACUGUGAAGAGCUCAAGCAGACAGACCCGAGCAGGAGUUGUGUCUUCCCUUGUCCGCCUUUCUACACGUGUAGCGCCUACGAAAUAUUUGGUUGAUGUAUUGAGAUGACCAAUAAACAUAAGAUAUCAAAACACAAUGA
rnacentral:sRNA from 1 species